rnacentral:tRNA from 1 species
GCUGUGAUGGCCGAGUGGUUAAGGCGUUGGACUUGAAAUCUAAUGGGGUUUCCCCUCGUAUGUUCAAACCCUACUCGCAGCG